GCCGUUCCAAGAUGCUGUCAAAAUUAAAUCAAUAUGGCUACUGGAAGGCAAACAUUGAAUAUUAUUCUAUCAGGUUCUUAUGGUUUUAGAUCAUUUUAGUUGUUGUACAAAGAUUAAUUUAACAUUUUCUCUGGAAGUAUUAAUUUAGAAAGAUAAUAUGCCUCAUUGGUGUUGUGUUUUGAAGUGUGAAAUGCAAAGUAAUCGUGAUAAAGUUAGCUUUUACCACUUACCAUCAGUGCUACAUUCUAAGCACAAAACUGAACCAAUUUAACUAAAUAAGUUAUAGUUAUCAUCUGAGAGACAACAACAAUGGUAAAAUGCAAUAAAAUAUAAAGAUUUUACUAGCAAAAUGGAAAUUCCCCUGUAAUCAUCUUAUAUCUGGAAAACCAGCCGACUUAACUGAUAAUAACAAUCCAGAUUGGGUUCCUUCAAUAAAUAUGGGGUAUAUAAACACAAUGAAAUGAGUUCCCCAAAAUCUAAAAUGGGAAUUAAGGUACCAAAGGAGAAUUAAAAGAAAAGGGUACCUACAAGAAAAAAUUGCUUUUUUAUUCCUCUUGAAAUGAUUUAUAAGACACUGGACUGUCUUAUAUUCUACAAAUACUAGAAUCAGCUGAGAGAAGUGGUCUACAAAAACCCAGGAAGGAAACGGAAUAUGUGGCUACGAAAGGCAAAAGAAAGGUUUACAAAGCAAAUGUGACACAUUUUUUUGAAAUAUUUAGGAAUAUCAGUAAAUUGCAUUAAAAAAAUGUAUGAAAAGAUUUUGUUCAAUAAAAAUGUUUAUAUUUA